rnacentral:rRNA from 1 species
UACGUAGGGGGCUAGCGUUGUCCGGAUUUAUUGGGCGUAAAGAGCUCGUAGGCGGCUCAGAAAGUCGGGUGUGAAACCUCCAGGCUCAACCUGGAGACGCCACCUGAUACUGCUGUGGCUAGAGUCCGGUAGGGGAACACGGAAUACCCGGUUUAGCGGUGAAAUGCUUAGAUAUCGGGUGGAACACCAGUGGCGAAGGCGGUGUUCUGGGCCGGAACUGACGCUGAGGAGCGAAAGCGUGGGUAGCAAACAGG